rnacentral:rRNA from 1 species
CUACCUACGGAGGCAGCAGUGAGGAAUAUUGGUCAAUGGGCGAGAGCCUGAACCAGCCAAGUCGCGUGAGGGAGUACUGCCCUAUGGGUUGUAAACCUCUUUUGUCGGGGAGCAAAAGCCGGACGUGUCCGGCUGUGAGAGUACCCGAAGAAAAAGCAUCGGCUAACUCCGUGCCAGCAGCCGCGGUAAUACGUAGGGGGCAAGCGUUAUCCGGAUUUACUGGGUGUAAAGGGAGCGUAGGUGGCAGGGCAAGUCAGAUGUGAAAACCCGGGGCUCAACUCCGGGAGUGCAUUUGAAACUGGCCA